UACGGGGGGGAGCAAGCGUUGUUCGGAUUUACUGGGCGUAAAGGGCGCGUAGGCGGUCGUGACAAGUCACUUGUGGAAUCUCCGGGCUUAACUCGGAAACGGUCAAGUGAUACUGUCGGACUAGAGUACAGAAGGGGGCAACUGGAAUUCUCGGUGUAGCGGUGAAAUGGCGUAGAUAUCGAGAGGAACACCUGCGGCGAAGGCGGGUUGCUGGGCUGAGUGACUGACGCUGAGGCGCGAAAGCCAGGGGAGCGAACGGG
rnacentral:rRNA from 1 species